GUCUUCUCCAAGGUCUUCACCAUCGACUACUACUUCGAGGAGGUGCAGAAGCUCCGCUUCGAGGUGUUCGACAUCAACAGCAGCAGCGUCCCCUGCGGGCCCCGCGAGGACGACUUCCUGGGGGCCGCGGAGUGCACCCUGGGGCAGAUCGUGUCGCACAAGAAGAUCACAAAGCCACUGGUCCUCAAGCAUGGCAAGCACGCGGGCAAGUCCACCAUCACGAUAAUCGCCGAGGAGCUCUCGGGCAACAACAACUACGUGGAGUUGUUCUUCAGCGCGAGGAAGUUGGAUGACAAGG